CCAAUAGAUCGCUAGGGUUCCGACACCAUCAAUGAUAUUGCCCUGAUGGCUGUGGCUGGUCCGAGAGCAAUCGACCUUGCAAGCACGCAAGGUUACACGGCGGGAUAAAAGCCCGGGAGGA
rnacentral:sRNA from 2 species